rnacentral:rRNA from 1 species
UACGUAGGUGGCAAGCGUUGUCCGGAUUUAUUGGGCUUAAAGGGUGCGUAGGCGGUCUAUUAAGUCAGCGGUGAAAUAUGGCAGCUUAACUGUCAAGGUGCCAUUGAUACUGAUGGACUUGAGUGAAGUCGAGGUUGGCGGAAUUGACGGUGUAGCGGUGAAAUGCGUAGAUAUCCGGAGGAAUACCAAAGGCGAAGGCAGUGUCCUGGCUGGCAACUGACGCUGAGGCGCGAAAGCUAGGGGAGCGAGCAGG